UACGGAGGAUGCAAGCGUUAUCCGGAUUUAUUGGGUUUAAAGGGUGCGUAGGCGGAUAUGUAAGUCAGCGGUGAAACUCACAGGCUCAACCUGUGCCGUGCCGUUGAAACUGUGUAUCUGGAAUGCCGAUGCUGUGGGAGGAAUGUGUAGUGUAGCGGUGAAAUGCAUAGAUAUUACACAGAACACCGAUUGCGAAGGCAUCUCACAAAGCCGUUAUUGACGCUGAGGCACGAAAGUGUGGGGAUCAAA
rnacentral:rRNA from 1 species